rnacentral:siRNA from 1 species
ACGGUGAUAAUUUGCGAUUAACGG